AAGCAAACAGUUUUUAAAAGAAGUUAAAACCUGAAUGUGGUGGAGGAGGCCACUCAGAUCAUCAGAGAAAUGGCUAAAAACAACUGCAUUAUAGCUUUCCCACCCUCACUUCUGUGGCAGAAGGCGUGGUCAUAGACCCUGGGUCCUUGGCCUCUGAAUCUUCAGUGUGGAUUUAACGAAGUCUGUGCUCCAGUCCACCCUGCACCCGGACAGCUUGUGUCAAGUUGACACACAAAACCAGCCAGUACAACCACCAAGAACAACCGUAACAGUGGAGUGGAGUCAACCAGAGCUUAGAGUGCUACAGAAGGCAGAGCUGGAGAAGUGACCUUUGGAGGAGCCAAGAAGAUCACGUGUGGAACCAGCCCAAGAGAAAGAAUCGUGUUACAGUCAACAAAACUGAAAGACACUGAACAUCAGACAUGGAGAUGCAGAAUUUGGCACUUUCCCAGCUGGUUUUUGGUCUUGUUUUGGUCCAGUAUUUCUUCAAUAUGAUGUUUUAGAAUGGUAAUGUAUAUCCUGUGAUGUUGGAAGUAUGUGAUCUGCUUUUUGAUUUCGAUUUUAUAGGGGAUUACAGUUAAGAGAUUGCAUAAGUCUCAGAAGAGACAUUUUAGCUUUGGACUUUUAACAUUGUUGAGACUGAUAUAGACAAUGUGGACUUUUGAAGUUGGACUAAAUAUAUGUUUGCAUUAUGCUAUAUUUAGGUAUGGCCCCCAUAGACUCAUAUGUUUGAACAAGUCUAUAGGUGCCAGGGAGUGGAAUGUGAUGGUUUGUAUAUGCUUGGCCCAGGGAGUAGCACUAUUAGUAGGUGUGGCCUUGUUGAAGUAGGUGUGACUGUGGAGUAGGUGUGUCACUAUGGGUGUGGGCUUUAAAACCCUCAUCGUAGCUGCCUGGAAGCCAAUAUUCUGCUAGUAGCCUUCAGAUGAAGAUAUAGAACUCUCAGCUCCUCCUGUACCAAGCCUGCCUGGAUGCUGCUAUGUUCCUGCCUUGAUGAUAAUGGUCUGAACCUCUGAACCUGUAAGCCAGACCCAAUUAAAUGUUGUCUUUAUAAAA